GAUGAACGCUGGCGGCGUGCCUAAUACAUGCAAGUCGAGCGAACGGACGAGAAGCUUGCUUCUCUGAUGUUAGCGGCGGACGGGUGAGUAACACGUGGAUAACCUACCUAUAAGACUGGGAUAACUUCGGGAAACCGUAGCUAAUACCGGAUAAUAUUUUGAACCGCAUGGUUCAAAAGUGAAAGACGGUCUUGCUGUCACUUAUAGAUGGAUCCGCGCUGCAUUAGCUAGUUGGUAAGGUAACGGCUUACCAAGGCAACGAUGCAUAGCCGACCUGAGAGGGUGAUCGGCCACACUGGAACUGAGACACGGUCCAGACUCCUACGGGAGGCAGCAGUAGGGAAUCUUCCGCAAUUGGCGAAAGCCUGACGGAGCAACGCCGCGUGAGUGAUGAAGGUCUUCGGAUCGUAAAACUCUGUUAUUAGGGAAGAACAUAUGUGUAAGUAACUGUGCACAUCUUGACGGUACCUAAUCAGAAAGCCACGGCUAGCUACGUG
rnacentral:rRNA from 1 species